AGAAAAGAGCCAGAAAUCCCCGAUGUGGCAGCAACUGCGGCGGUGUCUCCUCUGCGACCGGAACUAACGCGAGGAGGAGGGAAGAGAUGGAGGAUUUAAUGGCAUGGGGAGAAGAAUGUCAGAGCUAAGGAGAGAGGACAGAGGUUUCUAGAGAUUGCCUACCGCAAGACCUGGCUUUUCAGGAGUUCGAACCCUAAUAAACAAGGUAGAGCUGGGAGCAGGUUGCUUUUCCUUUACACGAGAGAACACCUGCUCAGAGAACUGAGGUUAAAAAGGCCAGAGUACAAAUGCUUCCUGUGCCCCAGACCCAUGGGAGAGAAACAGGAGGAUCCACGGAGCAAUGUGUAUCAGUUUGGAUUAACAAACCAUCUUUUCACUUGUGAAAAACUGAAACACCUGGAAAAAAAAAAGAAAGGAGAGUAAUUAUAAAAGUGUGCAAAUCCCCCAGCUUUUGCAUGCAAGGAAAACAAAUGGGACACACAUCUGAGUGCUUUAGGACCUAGCUUUGAACUACACAGAAUUUGUCAAAGGAAGCAGGACCUUUGAACUUUGCAGGCUGAUUGGGGCUCUGACAAUACUUUGUAACUACCAAGAAACAGCCAUAGAAAAUGAACAAGAAACAGAAAAGCCAGCAACUUGAACAACAUGAACAGCAAAGGAGCAAGCCUUCUGGUUGAGUUAGCCUGGGAACUCUCUUUGAGGAUAUCAUCUAUCAUUAAGAAAACAUUGACUAGCCAGCCCUUCCAGCCUGUUUCAAGUCCUAGGUGCAUUUGACUUUUCCAAUCAAUCUAGGAAGAAAUGUUCCUGGCCUCCAACAUGGACCUCUCCUGUUAAGUGCAAGCAAAGAGAAAUUCCUGAGAGUGUGUGUUGAUUGGAAACUACCAUGUUGAGGAAUUCCAAAGCAAGUAAGAUGUGGACUGACCAGUCUGGAUUUGUCCUGACCAAGGAAUUGAUGGAUCAGGAAUUUGUUCUGUGGCAACUAAAGGCAAUCUGUUUCAGAUACCAUAGUUUUGUAUAACAAGUUGGAAGGGUCUGGCUCCAUUCCUCUGUCCUUAACUAAUCAAAGUGCUAAGGAUUUUUCUUCUAUUUAUUCUGUUGCUCCCUGUCCCCCACCUCUAAAGGCAACACACAUAAUACCCCCACACCCACACUCACAAUUUGAGAGGAGGAGAUAU